GGGGAGAGCAGACAUUUACACUGACUGCUGGAGGAAACACUCAUACGUCCAGUCAUGCCAAAAGAAACACAACACUGAUCUGAAACCCAGUACUGAACAGCUGUGCUCCAACGGAACAGACUUUCCGUGCCUUCACGCACAGGAUUGAUCUACCUCCGACACACAAGCCCCCCCCUCCGUACAUAGAGAGACCCCCAGCCAUCCCUCUAGCUGUUCACGCACCACAGGUGGCCUCCCUGUCACAGGCUCGCAGGGCUGAGCGGCGCUUUGAGAUGGCCGAGAAAACCCCCGCCAGGCUCAUGCACCGGGAACCCCAAAGCCCCUCCCACCAGCCUCUGUCCUAUCAGGAGUGGGUCUGUCACCAAAAUGGGGCGGAUCGCGUCUACAUCAACCACCGGGAACACUAUGUUUAAAGGGGCAUAUUCUGAUCCUUGGACCUGUUAAUCAAUGACUUACACCACCCCAAACCAACCCCACAGAGGCUCAGGGUGGACAGCCUUUUCAGACACAGCUCAUGAUUUGACCAAGCCUUCCUAAAUGAGAGUCUACUCCACGUUUAAACUCCUUUGAGAGCAGCAGUUACCGCCUGCAAGAAGCAAGACUAAUGAGGCUGAAGCAUAAACUGCUAAGUGUCUCUGAGGAACAACCAACCCAGACACCUCCUCCACUCUCCUCCCCUGAACCACCACACACUUGUUCUGUUCCCAACCACAUCAAGGAACAGGAUAACAGCAGAGGAGGAGGAAGACACAUUGGGACAGUACCACACAAGAAGUUAAAACAGCACACUAAGCUCUUGUGUAGUGUACUGAAAUUGAAUAAUAUGAAAACACUGUGCUCUAUCAUGGAUAGAAGAGAUGUGUAUAACUAUGUCACAGUUGCUAUGGUGAUAUUAUAGUGAUGGCAUAAUCCUGUGUACUGUUAUGCUCUUUAAAUUAGAAUUAGAAAGAAAUUAUUUAAAUACCAGACAUAUCUCUGGCUCUGGUAAACAAGCAGUGUUACCACAGCAUUUACAGUGUAAUAUCAAGCAUUACAUUAAUUAUAGUAGAUAGUAACAUAUAAUGUAAUCCAGUCAUACUCUAUUGUGUCAUAUGUUCAGAUAAGAUGAAUGUAGGGUAGUUCAGGGGCUUUGAGAAGUCAACUGAAUCAUAGACAAGGGGAAUGAACCAUGUGGACUGUUCUUUUGUCUGUUGAGAAAAGCAUAUUUUUAUUAUUUCAUUGUGUAUAACACAUUUUCCAACUUUUUUGUGCCAUUUUAAUAUUUGAAAGGAGAUGCUCUCAACAGUAGAUAUGCUUUUUUAUUCUAAUUAUUCUGUUCAGUAGAUAAUAGAUGCAGUUUUAAAUAUUAAACUAGGUUUGUUACAAACGGGUCAGUGUUAUUUUUUUUUUUUUUUUUUUUACCAUAAUAUUUAUACAGUAGGGAUGGCUAUUGUGUUUGUAUGACAACAUCAUCAUAUAGUCAAAUAAAAUGGCAGUUGCAGCCCUACAGGCAUCUGUUAAGGUCCCGAGCCCCAUAUACUGUGUGUUAAUGAGCUACGCUUGUGUAGCUUUUCUCUCCUGGCCAGGCAGGCUAGGGACCAAGGCUCUAGCUGAGCUCUAAACCACAAAAAGGCCUUUGUUUGUUUCCCUGUCAUUGGUGAAUAAGC
ensembl:lncRNA